GUUGGGCGCCGAGAUAUGGAGAUGUCACCCAACAACAGGAGUCACAUGUGAUAUGAUUAGCAAGAAGUUGCUUACCGAUCUACCUUGUUUGCUAGCGGUGAUGCUAAAGCUGACUAGUAGACUUGUUAGUUGUGAAUCAACAGAGGGAUAUUGAAUUUAGUGGGAGUAGAUUCUGUUAAAUAGUUUAAUAUGAUUUACUUUGUCAUGGAUACGUUUAUCUUAGUGUAUUUUGCAUUACUUUGUUGUAGAUUAAAUGGCACCUAGCAACACCACAACGUUUGCUUUGCGUUUGGUCCUUGAGAAGGACAAGUUGAAUGGAACAAACUACUCGGAUUGGAUUCGUCAUCUGAGAAUUGUUCUCAGGGCCGAUAAAAAGGAAGAUGUUCUAGACACCCCAUUACCACAAGUACCUGCUAAUGAUGCAUCUGCUGCCGUUAAGGCUGCUUACAAGAAAGCAUUUGAUGUCAAUCUUGAGGUAAGCUGCCAUAUGCUCGCUUGCAUGGAACCUGAGCUACAGAUGCAGUUCAAAACAAAUCAUGAGGCACACGAUAUUAUCGUGGCGCUUAAGGAUAUGUUCCAGACACAGGCUAGGACUGAAAGGUUCAAUGUGUCCAAGGCUUUUCUGGAGUGCAAGCUAGCAGAAGGCACAGAAGUAGGACCAUAUGUAAUCAAGAUGGUUGGUUACACUUAGCGAUUGAAGAAGUUGGGCUUCCCAAUGGGCAAAGUGUUGGCCACUGACUUCAUUCUUUCGUCUUUUCUGCCUAGCUAUGGGAACUUCAUCUCGAACUACCAUAUGCAUGGGACAGAGAAGAAUCUGAAUGACUGUGUGGUAUGCUCAAGACAACAGAAGUUGACAUUAAGAAAAGCGCUAGUAGCAGCCAUGUGAUGGCUUUACAGAAUAAGCCUAGAUUCAAGAAGAAGCGCAAUUCUUGGAAGAAGAAGGGCAAGACUAGAGUGUCCAAGCCAAACCCAGCGCCCAAGGCUAAAGUUGGACCUGCUCCAAAUAAAGAGUGCUUUUAUUGUCACGAACCUGGUCACUGGAAGAGAAAUUGCAAGCAGUACCUAGCUUCGUUGAAGAAUGGCAGAAGUAAGAGUACUUCCACCUCAGGUACGCUUGUUUUUAAUGUUAUAGAAAACAUAUUUUUCGCUGAUACAAUUAUUAAUUCUUGGGUAUUUGAUACCGGAUCGGUUGCUCAUAUUUGCAAUUCGAUGCAGGGAAUGAUAAGAAGUAGAAGCGUUGAAAAGGGAGAAGUUGAUUUCCACGUGGCUAAUAAUGCAAGAGUUGCUGCGUUGACCGUCGGGACGAUGCAACUCCAUCUUUUGCUUGUAACUAUUGCCAUGGUUAUUCUGGGUUGCAAUAAUCUUCUAUGGUGCUGCAAUUGCUAGGUGCUUAUUGCAACAAGAAUUCUGAAUGGAUGCAAUAGCAUGUUCCUAUUGCCACAAUUUUUUGGGGUUGUAAUAAUCUUAUGUGGUGUUGCAAUUGUUAGAUACUUACUGCAACUAUAAUCCUAAAUGGAUGCAAUAUCAUGUUACUAUUGCCACAGUUUUUGUGUGUUGCUAUAGACUAAAGUAUUUGGUGAACCUUUCUAUGUCUAGGACCCAACAGUGUGAACCUUUCUAUCUCUAUCUCCUAUCUUGUGUUAACCUUUGCUAUAUUGUCUCAAUCUCUGUUAUUAGUUUAGUUUGUCUCUCUACACAAUACAUACACUCAGUUUUGUUAGCAAGAUUGGUAUAAAGUGAGAGCCAACAAUCCUCUUGUUCCACGGAUUGAUAAACCUUGGGGGAAUACUCUAAGGAAAAAGCUACAACUGAUCCGUGCGCUUGCGGUUCACGAAUUGACGUGCUAACUACCAUCAACAAGCAUACCCCAACAAGUCUGAUCCCUGUUCAGCCACCGGCCAUGGCCAUGUUCCCAAGCUCCCCUGCUCGCCCAGUCGCAGCCACCCAACACCCAAACCGCCUUGCGAGCUCCACCACACUAGCUCCUCUGCGCCCGCGCCCUCACGCUACCGCCGCCUAGCGCCACCGAGCGCGUCCCCCUGGUUUUGUGUUUUAGCCCCUAAGCAGUCCAAUUUCUUGCUAUCCAGUCCAGCCUUAAGUUUUUACGCAUUUACCUCCCUAGUUUUUGCAGAUAACCCCCUGGGAGUUUUAAGAACUUGCCAGCAAUCCCCUAGAACUUAGUUAAGCCCUAUCUUUCACAUUUUAGCUCCGUUUUGAGUGAUUCCUUUGCUCACGUGUUCGUCAUAACACUUAUAUUAGCUUUGUGCUGCUAUUUAGUAUUGUUAAUACUGCUUGCUAUACUGUUUCUUUAUUUAUUGUAUUACUUUUUGCAUGUGCUUGUGUGAUGCGUAGAGAGCACACCGUUCAAGAAAUUCCCUGAAGACAAGCUAUUGAAGACUCCGAGCAGCAGCAUGGCUUUGAGGAAGGCAAGUGUCCAUGGUCAUUCCCGUUCAUACCUAAAUGACAUGUAAUUUGUUCACAAUAUUUAUUUAUCGCUUGCAUUAAUAUGAUGGGUUCCUAUGAAGGAUGAUGCCUAGUUUAUUUUGAUCAUACCUUGUAGUGGGUUGUUUAAUUAAGCUUGAUGGUAGAUGGUACUUAGUUUGCUCAACUGGGUUGGUACAUAAACAACAUGGUUAUAUUGGUUUAUUCACUCUAUGUUCCUAUAUGUUUUUUAAUUACAAGACCACUUCAAUUAAUUGGAAGAUGGCGAACCACCCAAGAAAAUAGUGCAACCACAAGUAUCAUAUGGAUCUGACUUUGGCAAUUAACUAGUGAACUUAAUGAUCUUACCUGAAAAGGGCAAGAGGGGUGGCAUCGUUGGGGUAUAGCCCGGUCUAGCGGUCCUCUUGAGUGGUAUUCUUGGCUAAGGUACCGCACUCAAUAGGGAGGCUUAGGCUCUACUUUGACUUGAAACCUUAGCGGAUUAUUUUGUAUUAAGUAAACUUUGUGAAGGCCUCAUAGUGAAUCCCUAGCCACUCACCUUAGAAGUGUUUAAGAGGCGAGCUAUCUCGAGCAACCUGGGAAAAAUGAAUUGUGGGUAAGGAUGUACAACCUCUGUAGAGUGUCUAAAAAUUGUUAUAACAACCGUGGUUAUGGUCAAGAGUGGCCUGGACUCUCACAUGAUUAAUUCACAUGAAUAUUAAUGCUCAAUAUUAUUUGUGGAUUGGUAUAAACUUAUAUUUGCUAGUAAUUAGCUGGUGAAUAAAACUUGACCAACUAAAAGUGCUAAGUGCAGUUAACCUUGUCAGCCUUCCGCUAUAUAAAGCCUUGCAUGUCAUUUUUUACCUUUUUCUGACCAAAGUCAGCAGGGGAAACCCCUACCUAUUUUUUAUAUAAUUUUUUUAUUUUAGACCCAUUUAAUUCGCUUCCACGGGGAGUCGAACCCGAGCCUACUGGGUGCUACUCAGUUGCUCUAACCACUGGGCUAGAGACCCUUUCGCAUCAUUUUUUUCCUUCACCUGCUGAGUACGGCAUGUUCUCACACUUGUGUUUUAUGUAUUGCGUCUACAACACCUGGAUUACUGCUCAGACUUAGAGAAUUUUGAGUAUUAUUCUAGAGAUUUUGAGGAGUUCUAGGCAAGUCCUCGAGUCAAUUGCCUAUGUAGAUGGAGCUUUUGUUUACGUUUCUUAGUUAUGCUUGUUUAUUCUUCCGCUAAGACCUUUGUGUAACACUAGUGUUAUUAAAAGCCUAAGAAACUCAUUAAGAUGUUAAUGAUGAAAUUUGGAUUAAAAAGAAGUAUUAUGGGCCAAGUUCAAAUUUGAGCCAAAUUUGACCAAAAAAUUCAAAUUUAAGAUUCAAAUUUGGAAAAAUUCGAUAAAAAUGUGGAAUCAAGACUUGAAGGUGUUUAGAAUUCAAAGGAAUCAAGUUGGACAUUACAUUCAAGUAAUAAGCAUCUCAAAUGCAUAGUCAAAGUUGUUGACUUCGAUCACUAUUCACAAUCUGAAAAUUUCCAAGUCUGAAACAGUGGCAACCAUCAAACUUUGAAAUUGGUUUCUGAAGAAGUUUUCAUUUAAGUUAUGUGAUGUUUUGGACAACAAGUAGACUUGGAUGAUGAGUGAAUAUUUUGGAGAAAUUGUUGGCCAGAUAAUUCAAAGGAUUCAAAUUUUAAAAAGGGCCCAAAGUUUGAAAGUUGUACUGUCUUGAGUUAACUGACGAAAUGAAUGGCAAUUGCCAUUUCAACUCUGAAAAAAGUGGUAAUUGACCAACUUUGGCUCAGCAUUUUGAAAAAUUCUUUAUGAAGAUGUUGAACAGUAACAUGCAAAAUGGGAUCUAUAAUAUGUGGUUAACCAUUGACAAUAGCCCCUGAACCAAGAAAAGUUGGUUUGGAUAUUAAAUUUGGAGCUGAAAGAUGGAACACAGUUACUGUUUGAAAGUUGUUUGAUGAAACUAAAUGGUGUGUUCCAUCGAACACUAACAGACAGUAAAAGAGCUAAAUUUUGGGGAUUCAAUUCGAGGGAUAGAGUGAUCCUUUGCUCGAGAUGCAAAUCUAUUGGAUGAACUUCUAUGGAUCCUCUAGAAGUUUGAUUAAAGGGGAUUGUAGAGUUUGAAUUGAAAGUUAAGCACAAAUUGGAUUUUAAUUUCGGGCAGAAUUAAAGCAAAGAGGGAAGAACCGGAGCGGAGGCCCUGCCAUGUAGCUGCUUGCCGCUGAUGGCCAGAGGCAGUUUCGCCGUGCCACGUGCCAGCGAAGGCGUGCGAGUUGAAGCAGGUAGGCAAGUAUGACGUGUCUGAUGUGGAGGUGGUAAAAAUUCAUAUAUAUACCACUCCCACCAUCCGUAUCUAUCCAUUUCACCACCGCCACUUAGUUUUUAUAGCGCCUCGGUCACCGGCGAGUUCCACCGCCGUCCCACCACUGCCGGCCAUUUCCCUCCGCCAGAACCAUAUCACAUUGCCAUCCUGAACCCGUUCCACCAAUCACCAUCCAUCCCCUUCCACCAUAGCGCUUUCCUACCACCAUCUUCCUCAAGUCCGGCAGCUCUCUGUUUUUGAUCCUGAAGCUCCUCAAGUGGAUUUCUUGGAUUUAUCUAAAGAGCCUUAGGAAUUCGAGGAGGUUAUUGAGGUUGUUCCCUGUGUUGAAAGAUCUCCUGAAGGAACUAACUUUUUUGUGAACCAAGGCAAGCCCCGGAGCAUCUACACCUAUUAAUUUCAAAAAUUAUUAUUCAUGUGUCCAAAUUAUUGGUUAAUUUCCUUAUUUGUCCAUUAAGUCUAGAAGGUGAUUGAAACCUUACUCUUAUGUAUAAUCCAACAUUAUUAUAGGACAUCUGUUGGCGCUAAAAAUCGGCCGAUGGCCUUCAGCGUCGGACACACGACCCGGGGGAAUCUGCUUAAUUGCUGUUCGGGUGAUCGCCCUGGUGCGGUUCGUGCGGCGUGCCAGUCAAUCUGACCUGUUGAUUGACAAGGAAAGAAACGUAUUAAAUUCCAGGGACCUCGAUCGGCUAAAAUUCCGAUCUGUCUCAAAAAGCGUAUCAGCGAAUCGGCCGAUUUAAUAUGAAGAUGACCAGCUAUAGAACAGCCCAUAAUCAUGUAGCGAUUAUGAAAAAACUACCAGAGUAGCCUAAAUAACGCUACAAAUAGAACACUUGAAAUAGAUCUAAUUAGCUAUAUGAUUAUAAAUGAGAAUAACAAUAAUAAAGCUGACAACCCAAAUCUCAAGCUGGAUAGCUGGUGAUAAAACUAGAACAAUAGAUAAAACUUAUAAUUCUAGUAAAUAUCGAUAACUGGUGAAUAAAUCUAAACGAAACAACAGCGAUACGCCCGAAGUUAAAGCUUAGAUAUUACUCGAUAAACGGAACUUACAGAAUCGGUCGGAGAUCGUGUCGAUGCAGCCCUGCCAACCCGUAUGAACUCGUGAAAGAAAAAGAAGUAUUGGCGAAGUCGCUGACUUGAAAGUAAAGUACGAUGAAAAAGUAGAUUGUUUGUAUUGAUUGAUGUGUUUUUUUACAAAUCCCUAAAGAUGGCUAUUUAUAGCCUAUUACAACUGAUUUCCUAACCAACUAGGAUCUAUCUCUAAUUUUAAACGAAAACGAAUAUUUACUCGUAUCGGAGUUGGUUAUCAUACUCCCACGGGCCAAUCUUUCUCUAUCUUCUUUUUCUAGCCCACCUUAAGCCCAUAUUGGCCCAAACGCCCCAGCCUUCCAACCGGCCGACCUCCACCAACUCCGUCUGCCAAUCGCUCGAAACACUGUAGCGCCAAUCGGCCGAUUCCCAACUGUAGCACCAAUCGGCCGAUUACUAAUCGUAACCUUUUAAUCCGCCUCAUCGGUCAAUCCUUUCCUCUCUUGAUGCCGAUCCAAAACGUGUCAAAAUCUGGUGUCAACACAUGCCCCCCAGUUUUGGAGUAAAACAUGACUUUUACUUCAAAAUUCUUUUUUAACCUCUUUUCCGAAACAAACGCGGCAAAAGCCUCCUUCUAUUUCGCGGUCUUCUACAUGAUGAUUGCAAUCUUUUCGAACUGGGCGCCUGAGACAACCGCUCCCCCAAAAUUUUUGUAGAUGGCACGGUAAAAAUCCCACCUUUACCCCUUCUCUUGAACCGUCUUCAAACACUAGCGUUCCCUACCGCUUCUUCUCCACGAGCUCAGUAACUUCCUCCUCGGGAAUCACUUUCCAUCUUCUCCUAGCGCCCUUUUGGCUUCCAAUCGCAUUCUCCGGUGAUCCUUCUUUUGUCUGCAUCCCGCUUCAUCCCCUCAAUGGCAGUGCCAUCGGCAAUUCCACCAGCAACGGAAGCUCCGCCGGCAGCUCCAUCAGUGAUGGCAGUUCCAUCGGUGAUCCCAUCAGCAACGAUGAGCUUUAUUCCAGAGGUAAACAUCCGAAACUUUUCCCUUUUUCUUUUUACCGCCCAACCAUCUUUUCGAUCUAUUCUUAGUUCUUCCCUUUUUUACCUUCUUUAGGCGGUCAAACAGCAAAUCACCAUCCGCCUUUCUGAAGCUCCUGGUCUCAUCUACCUAGGCCCUAUGGGGAACCCAGACCCGACUAAUCUGAUUAAUUUAGGAACCCAUAGAAUCCCUUUAAAGCAAUCACCUAUGGAUUUGAGCCAGUGGUCAGGCACUUUUAGAUCUUGGCCGAAUGAAACCCUCGGCUGGAAAGAGUGGUACCAAAGAAUGGCCAACUCCAAGAGAGUUCAAUGCAAUGAAUUAAAAAUCGGCCAGUGCAUCAAUCUAUCUUUGUCCCAAAUAGAGAAGAAUGAACCAUUGGUGAUAGCAGCCUCCUACUUCUUGUCUGACGCGCUUAAUGCGUUUCUCUUCGGGCACGGACCCAUGAACCCAACUCUGGCCGAUGUUUUGAUGCUAACCGGCCUCGAUAUUUCCUCCCCUGAUGCACCCUUUAAUUAUCUGAUCAAACCGACUCAUCGGCUAGAGACGAAAGGAAUCAGCGGGUGGAAGGGGUAUAUCAAUAAAAACAUGAGAAACAGGACGAUUUUAGAGAGGGAAUACGCAGCCUUCUUGAUGAUGUGGCUAGAGAAGCACCUUUUCUGUGGUAGAGCAGUCGGCCCUUCUUCCAACACACAAGCUCUGGUCGAAGCCCUGUCAAGAGGAGCAGCCAUCCCUCUUGGGAAGCAUCUGCUAGGAUUGGCCUACCACAUGAUGCACCAGAUUGGUGUCAAAUUGUCAAAGGGAGAGCCGAUUGGUAAUCCUGGUGGUCCCUGGUGGUUCAUCACCCUCUGGCUCAACUUGUACAUGAGCAAGGUCUUUCAGUAGCAGAUAGAGACCAAGACAUUCCCCAACAUUGAGUCAGAGGAAAACCCCACAGUAUGACGACGGUGCACCUCUUUCGGCGAAGCGGCAUCAGCUUUCCCUGGUUGCCAGUUCACCGCCACCCAGACAGCCGAGUAUUUCAGAUGCUUCUACAACGGCUUUAGUGAAGAAACCACAAGUUGGUAUCCAUACCAGAGAAUAGAGCCACUCUUUGAGCUUCCCUUCUUCUAUGACUCGACGUCCAACUCAACGAUCUCACGGAUGCCUUGAUCAAACCAGGGAUCUUACCAGCAAACUUCUUCUCCGGGAAGGAUUCCCCAACUUAUGAGUUUUACAACCCAUCAGUUGCAACACGGCAGUUUGGCCUCGGUCAGCUGCCGAUUCAGGUUUACUUUGCCGGUCGCGCAAAAUUCCGGGACGAGCUCACCAAGGGCCUCGAUUACAAUCAGCUGUGCAACCUAGUGCCAGACUCCAGUACCAUUGAUCUAAACAAUGGGGUAGUGGCUCCUUUUGCUGUUUAACAAUUCAAAUUAUAGUGGGCAGAAUGGAAGCAGCAUCUCUUUUGUGUAUCUCCUGCAACAUAUUGCAGUGAUCUGGAUCCUGACAACAUCGACCCAAACGCAGCGGUAUUGCACUUUUCUCAGCCAAUUUUGAUGUCAUUUCCUUUUAUGUUACAAAUUUGCUGCUAACUCUUAUUUUCUUUUACAGUCUGAAAGUCGACUUCCUCCAACGCGCAGCCAGAGUGGUAGGCCGAUAGAGAAUCGCUACCUAUACACACCAUUCCCACUCAUCGGCUAUCAUGCCCUAACCAUCGAAGACAUCACCACCAAAAGAUCAAAACAAACGCUGAAGAAAACCUCCUCAAAGAAGACGAGUCACCGAGUGCGUGCUCGUAUAGAAUCGGCCGAUCAGUCGGCGACGGCAUCGGCUGAAUCCUUAGCUGCGCCGACUCUGCUGAUUAUCGAGGAAGUCGAUCCCCAGGCUGCUACAGAAGCUGUAGCGGUUGCUGCAUCAUUGAUGGUAGAAGCUGUUCAGGUAACUUCGUACACCCCACAUUCUUCUAAGUAGCCUUUCGAUAUUAAUUUCUUCCAUCUGUUAGGCCGCGCAAAUCGCCCCAAUGCAAUCUCCGUAGCAAUCAGUCACCAUCCAGGCAGAGACUGAGGCGCUAGCGAUUCCUCCCUCUGAGGUAGAGAAUAUCUGUUUAACCCCAAUUUCUUAAUGCUUAACCAAAAUCUAACCAAUUUUUGAUGCAGACCCCUCUGGACACAUCAAUUGUACUCUUCUAUCGGCCAUCGGCCGGACGACCCCCAGAGGUAUAGCAGUCAUUACUUGUCAUCAGACUUAAUUACUUGCCUCAUACUUAUAGAGAACCGUUUCUUAAUCCUUUCCAGGAAGCCGGCCCAAGCACAGUGCCAAUAAUCAUCAAAUCCUCUUCCUCUCUUGAAGUGAACAUCGUCCCUUGAUCAGUCAUGAUGGUCUAUGGGAUACCGAACCGAUAAACAAUGUGGUCCCUCACGAAAUCGACCAUAGCGGCCGAUGUCACAGCCUUCAAUGCGACUGCCUCCACCCACUUGGUAAAAUAGUCAGUGGCUACUAAUAUGAACUUGUGUCCCUUGCUUGAUGGAGGAUAAAUCUGUCCGAUGAGGUCUAUUCCCCAACCUCUAAAUGGCCAUGGCUUGAUUAUCGGGUUCAUAGCCGAGGCUGGUGCACACUGCACAUUGCCAAACUUCCGACAGUGACACCCUUUAUAAUAUUUAAAGCAGUCUUCGAGUAUCGUCGGCCAAUAAUACCCGUUAUUUAUAAUCAUCCACUUAAUUUUGUGAGCUGAUUGGUGAGCUCCGCACACGCCUUCGUGGAUUUAUCCCAUCAGGAUCUUUGCUCCUUCCGUUCCCAGGCAUUUGAGCAGAACUCCAUCAAUUAUUCGGUAAAACAAAUCAUCUUCAAGUAGCACAUAUUUCGUGGCUUGAAAACGCACUCGCCGAUCCACUUUCUUGGACGAAUCCUUCAAGUAAUCGGCGAUCUCCUUUCGCCAAUCGUCGGCCGCGAGCUCCAGAGUCAUAGCGCCUUGAAUUGACCGAUACCCGGACGCGUGUUGGGCAAGCCUAUUGGCCUCUUCAUUGUAGUUUCUGGGAAUAUGCUCAAUAACCGCGGCCUUGAAUUCUUUUAAAAGUUGGAGGCAAUCUUCGUAGUAAAUUCUCAAGAUGUCAUCUCUGCAUUCGGAUCUCCCCGUUAAUUGAUCUACGAUGAGCAUGGAAUCCCCGAAAAUUUCCACAGCGUCGGCUUUGAUCUCUCUCAAUAAUUGAAUGCUCUUUAAGACAGCUUAGUAUUCCGCCUGAUUGUUGGUCGCGGAAGCUUCUAUCGGUAGAGAGAAAUCAUAACUUGCCCCCCGAGGCGAUAUGAGGACGAUGCCGAUUCCUGACCCGGCCCCACACGAAGAACCAUCGAAGUAUAGAGUCCAUGGAACUGGUUGAACGACAGCAAUUUUCGGUCUGCAAUGUUGAGCCACGAAAAAGGCCAUGACUUGACCCUUGACAGCUUUGGUCGAUUCGUACCUCAGGUCAAACUCUGACAGAGCUAAGAUCCACUUUCCGAUUCAUCCUUUCAGAAUUGGCAAUGAUAGCAUGUACUUUACCACGUCAUCUUUGCACACGACUAUGCACUCAGCCGAUAACAGGUAGUGCCUGAGCUUCGUGCAUGAGAAAUACAGACACAGGCACAGCCGUUCUACCGGGGAAUAUCUUGCUUCAGCGGCCAGGAGUCUUCUGCUGACGUAAUAUAUUACCCGUUCUUUUCCUUCGAACUCCUGUACCAGUGCUGAUCUGAUAGCCCGUUCAUGAGCUGAUAAGUAUAGUCUGAACGACUUAUCAGCCUGUGGCGGGACUAAUACAGGUGGCGAAAUCAGAUAUUGCUUGAUGUCUUCCAAUGCUUUUCGCUAUUGUUGGCGCUAGAAAUCAGCUGAUCGAAUUCCCAGCGUCGGACACACGACCCGGGAGAAUCUGCUUAGCUCCUGUUUGGGUGACUGCCCUGGUGCGGUUCGCGCGGCGUGCCAGCCAAUUUGACCUGUUGAUUGGCAAGGAAAUAAACGUGUCAGUUCCCAGAGGUUGCGAUCGGCUAAGGUUCCGAUCUCGAGAAAGCUUAUCAGCGAGUUGGCCGAUUUGCCGUAAUAAAGAAAUCGGCUAUGAUGCAAUCGAGUAUCAGGCGACGUUUAUAAAGAAAACUGCUAGAGUAAUCUAAACAACGCUACAGUAGCAACACUAGGAAUAGAUCUGAAUCGGCUAUGAGGAAAGCGGUAAAUUAAGUAACAAGAUAUAAGAAAGCCGAAAGUUCUAAUUCCAAGCUGGAUAACUGGUGAUAAAACUAGAAUAACAGGUAAAACCUAGAAUUCUAGUGAAUAUCGAUAACUGGUGAAUAAAUCUAAACGAAACAACAGCGAUGCGCCUGAAGUUAAAGCUUAGAUAUUACUCGAUAAGCGGAACUUACAGAAUUGGCCGGAGAUCAAGUUGAUGCAGCCCCGCCAACCUGUACGAACUCGUGAAAAGAAGAAAAGUAUUGGCGAAGUCGCCUGCUCGAAAGUAAGUACGAGGAAAUAGUAGUUUGUUGUAUUGAGUUGAUGACGAUUACAGAUCUACAAGGGUGGCUAUUUAUAGCCCUGUACAAACGACUUCUUAUCUGACUAGAACUCUAUCCCUAAAUUCAAACAGAAAAUGAAUAUUUACAAGUACGAUUCGUACUAUUUUCACGCGAUUCAUGGGCUGACCCCCUCUUCAUCUUCAUAAUCCUUCUUAAGCCCACAUCGGCCCAACUAUUCCAACCUCCUAAUCGGCCGAUCACCUCUUUGGCAAGGGGGUAACCGAUCAGGACCCACAUGUCGAGGGCUCAGACUCAUUCCGACCCUGGGAACUAAGGUCGGGCGAGGCGGAGAUCCUCACUUGGAGGGUCGGGCGCGUCCGAUCCCAAACCUCAGGGGUCGGGCGAGGCGGAGAUCCUCCCUUGGAGGGUCGGGCGUGUCCGAUCCCAAACCUCAGGGGUCGGGCGAGGCGGAGAUCCUCCCUUGGAGGGUCGGGCGCGUCCGAUCCCAAACCUCAGGGGUCGGGCGAGGCGGAGAUCCUCCCUUGGAGGGUCGGGCGCGUCCGAUCCCAAACCUCAGGGGUCCGGCGAGGCGGAGAUCCUCCAUUGGAGGGUCGGGCGCGUCCGAUCCCAAGCCUCAGGGGUCGGGCGAGGCGGAACUCCAAGGAUCAAUCGGCCGAUCCUCGACUGUAGCAUCAAUUGGCCGAUCCUUGACUGUAGCACCAACCAACCGAUCCUUGACUGCAGCACCAAUCAGCCGAUUUCCAAUCGUCGCCCUUGCAUCUCGCCGCAUCUCCUAAUUUCUUCCACUUCCAACGCCGAUUUUACUCGUGUCAAAAUCUGGCGUCAACACAUGCCCCCCAGUUUCAGAGUAAAACAUAGUCUUUACUUCGAAAUUCUUUUCAACUUCUCAUCCGAAACAGACGCCACGAAAACAUCCUUCUGUUUCGCGAUCUCCAACCUGAUGAUUGCAAUCUUUUCGAAACGGGCGCCCACGACAACCACUACUCCCGAAAAACUCGAAACGCCGGCGCGGUAAAAAUUCCACUUUUACCCCUUCUCAGACCUUCUUUAAAUAUCAGCACAUCCUGUACUCCUUACGAGCUCACAUCCUUCUUUUUUUAGCGCAUAGGCUUUCUUCUCCCUUCAACACUUUCCUUGGUCCUCCAAUUCUCCAGCGCCUCCUUUCUUUCGCAUUCCCUCCUACUUUCCCAAUGGCGGCACCUUUAGGCACCUCACCAACGUGUGAAGCUCCAGAAAUGGUGCCUUUGGCGGAGGUCCCAGUAGCGACAGCGGCGGCUCCAUCAACGGAAGAAGGAGCUCCAUCGGUGAAAGUUGAAGCUUCAUCCGAGAUCCCAUUGGCAGCUUCAUCGUCUACAGCUGCACCGGCGAUUCCGCCGAUUACGAGGAGCUUCAUCCCGGAGGUCAUUACCGAAACUUUCCCUUAUCAGUAAUGCAUUUACUUUAGAUCUAUUUCUUACCCUCACACCCCCUUUUCCUUUUUAGGCGGUUAGGCAUCGCACCACCAUUCGUCUUACAGAAAACCUCAGCCUUAUCUGCCUUGGGCCCAUGGGAAAUCCAGAUCCAACCGACUUAAUCAAUUUGGAAACCCAUAGGAUCCCCUUCAAACAAUCAACUAUGGACCUAGAUCACUGGUUGGGUACCUUUAGGUCUUGGCCGAAUGAAACUCCCGGUUGGAGGGAAUGGUACCAACGGAUGGCCGCCUCCAAGAAGGUCCAAUGGGACGAGCUCAAAAUUGGCCAAUGCAUUGAUCUAUCUUUGUCCCAAAUGGAACGGAAUGAGCCGUUAGUGGUGGCAGCUUCUUACUUCUGGUCCAAUGCUCUCAACGCAUUCCUGUUUGGACACGGACCCAUGACCCCCACAUUGGCCGAUGUAGUCUUGGUGACCGGCCUGGACAUUUCUUCCCCGGACACCCCUUUCCGCCUUAUAGCCGCAACAUCACAUCGGCUGGACACAAGGGGAAUCGGCGGGUGGAAAGGUUUCAUCAGAUGCAACAAAAGGGCCGGAUCUGUCGAGAGCAGAGAGCACACGGCCUUCCUGAUGAUGUGGCUAGAGAAGCACUUCUUCUGCGAGAGAGCAGCUGGUCCAUCUACCAAUACCCAAGCUCUGGCCGAAGCAUUAUCAAUAGGGACUUUUGUUCCUCUUGGAAAGCACUUAAUGGGAGCAGCCUACCACAUGCUUCACCAAAUCGGCAUCAAGCUAUCCCAAGGGGAGCCGAUUGGAAACCCAGGUGGACCCUGGUGGUUCAUUAACUUAUGGCUGAACUUGUACAUGAGCGAGAUCUCUCAGCAGCGAGUGGAACACAUGACAUUCCCCAGCGUCGAAUCGGUAGAGAAUCUCACUGUCCGACGCCGGUGUACGUCUUUCGGCAAAGCGGCAUCGACCUUCUCUGGUUGCUCGUACUCUGCUACCAAGGUGGCCGAAUACUUCCGGUCUUUUUAUAACGGCUUCAAUGAAGAUGCAACCGUCUGGUUCCCUUAUCGGAGAGAUGACCCAAUCUUUGAACUCCCUUCUUGCUUCGACUCAACCACCGGCCGAUUCGACGAAGAUCUCACAGAUGAACUAAUUAAACCAGGGAUCUUACCGGCCAACUUCUUCUCAGGAAAGGAUGCCCCUACAUAUGAAUUCUACAACCCCUCCGUUGCAGCACGGCAAUUCGGCAUGGGUCAACUGCCGAUUCAGGCAUACUUCAUCGGCCGAGCAAAGUUCAGAGAUGAGCUCACCAAGGGUCUUGACUAUAGUCGGCUGCGAGAUCGGAUACCAGACUCUAGUACCAUAGACUUGAAUGACUGGAUAGUAGCCCCCUUUGCUGUCCAACCAUUCAAGCUAUGGUGGGCCGAAUGGAAACAGUACCUGUUCUGCGCCUCCGCAUCGACAUACUGCAAUCUCCUGGAUCCAGCCAACAUCGAUCCGAACGCUGAGGUAUUUUUUCCCCUAGCCGAUUUUCAUUCCUUUAUUAAUGCGGUUAAAUAUGUACACUAACAUCUUGCUGUUGCAUCAGUCUGAAAACCGUGUUCCCCCAACACACAGUCGGAGUGGCCGGCCGAUAGAGGACCAUCACCCAUACACCAUCUUCCCCCUUAUCGGCUAUGAUGCCCCUUCCGUGGAUGUGAUUGCCGGCCGAUCGAAGCAGGCGUAGAAGAAGGUUACCAAGAAGACCAGUCGCCGAGUACGAGCUCGUAUAGAACCGGCCGACCCUCCUAUGAUCACAUCGGCAGAAACUUCGGCCGCAUUGCCCCUUCCAGCUGCUGGAGAAGUGGAUACUCAAGUCGUCACGCAAGCUGGGGCGGCCGCUGCAUCAUUACUGGUGGAGGCUAUGCAGGUAAACUUGUUGUCUGAUCCUACCGAUUGCCAUCCCUAUACUUACUCAUCUUAUUUUAGACUGCACAAAUCACUUCUGUGGACUCACAACAAUCGGCAGCAACCCAAUCGGUCAUCAACACGCCCACGCUUCCAUCUGCCGAGGUAUACUACUCUUCAACUGAUUUUUCUAGUAUUUGAAUAAUAUUCUUAUUCAAUCUUUUGACACAGGUCACCGGUACGCUUAGCGCCCCACCUAACCAACCAAUGGUCAUCUUUUGGGAAGCUGGCCCAAGCAAAGCACCAAUCAUGGUGGAGUCUUCUACUUCUGAUGAACCAAUGGUACCAGCCCCUGAAUAGAGGAUAACGGCCUCCCAAACGCAGUUUGAAGAAAUCCGUUUCAAGGAGGUAAGAGAUUUCUCACCCUUACUCGGCCGAUUUGCUACCAUCAUCGGCUGAUUUGUUCUUCUUCUUGACGCACUAUUUUUUAGGAACAGGACACCCCCAACAAUAGCCUUUUCUCGUUUGCGGUCGCACUCUCCGAUGAUGAGGAAGUCGCCUAUCGCCAGGUCACUUUGAGCUCCGUUCCUGAUGACGUCCGUGCCAAACUCACAAGCACCCGAUCCCUUCUCCAAGAGGACAUCGACCGAUUGGUAGAAGAUGCUUCGCCGAUUCGACAACUUUUUGGUGACGUCAGCGGGCGAGUACCAGAAGAAGCGGAAGAGGCCUUGGCGCCGGCCGCAUAUAUCGAGUCAAUGAGGAUUCUGGUCUUUAGGGCCCUGCGCCACAUGGCCGAUCGCGUCAAGUUGACCAAGACUCAUGAAGAAGAAGACACGUACAAGCGUCAAGCUCAAGAGGUGCAUCAACGGAUUCACUUUCUGGAAGACUCUCGCCCGGGGAUCGUCGGCAUGAUAGAUCGCCUCAAACGCCGAAGGGCAGAGCUUGCCAAGGAGAUGGAGCAGGUGACCAAAGCAAUAGACGCCGAAGAGAAGAGGCUUCAGGAACUCCCUUCUGUCAUCGCCGAUCUGAAACGGGAGAGGCAGCAUCUGGCUCACGAAGCCCUCAAACUCCACCGCCAUAUGUCAGAAGUCCCCGGAUCGGCAGAGGAUGACCAACGGGUCCUAGACUCUGCCGAUCAGAUCCGGCGCUGAGCGAUCGCAGCUAUCGAUGCCCUUCUGGGUGACCUGUAAAAGUACUGGCAGUUCUUGUACGAACAUUUAAUGACCCCUUUGACCGUCCUUCGCGACGCCCCCUUAUUUAUUACCUUUUACACCCCCGAUGGGACGCGUCUUACCAAACAUCCAUGCCUUCCUUUCCUAUAAACACCGGCCUAGAUGACAAUUUUGAGAGUACCUGUCUAACUCGGCUUCAUCUUCCCCGACCUGUUCAGAUCGGUGCGCCUUUCGGUCAUGUCUUCUCCAUCCUCUACCUCUUCCUCCGUUAAUCAGGUAAAAGAUUUGCCUUCAUUCUCUUUCUUAGUUUAGCUCUUCUGAAGGGAAUCACCUUUUCGGCAGCUAUAUGUAUAUUGUUGCUUUCCGCAGCCACGGCGCCUUAGCCCUGAACUCGAACGAGCCAUCGGACUUGUACACUCCGACGAACCAUUGUCGCAAGAAGACAAGGAUUUAAUCAGAGCUCAUCGCGACGAACUCCAAGAGCACGUCCUUGCCGACAUCCGACGGAUCUGGGACUUUCUGGACAGCAACGACCACCGGCGACCUCGAGCCGACAGAAGUCAUCCGCUUCCUCAUCAAAUCGUCCUUGAAGAUGCAGCAGCAGGAACAUCACACCCGGCCAUGGACCGGAGUCACCCUCUCCCCCGUCAAGUCGAAGCGGAGGCUUUGAUGAAAGAGAUAGAAGAAGAGUACAUCCGUCUUCUGAUAGAACUAGGUCGGGCUGAGAGAGAGCUUAAGAAAAAGCGUGAUUAAUUAUUUUUUGUUCUAAGGGCGACUUGUACCUUGUCGGUCGUGUAACCUACCGUCCGUACUGAAUGAAAUAUAUCGGCCGAUUUGGACGAUUACGUUUUUCCUCUAGACGAAUCCUUUUGUAUCGGCUGUGUGUUGUUCAUCGUGGUCGAUCCUUAUGCUCCGACCCAUAUACUAGGGUAGUACCUUUUCAAGUAUCUUCCGUUCAGAGCCCUAGUAAACUCUUCUCCUUCAAUUGUUUCCAGAAUGUAAGCGUUUCCUGGAGCACAUCUGCCGAUUUUAUACGGCCCUUCCCACGUAGGGGACCACUUACCGAAUUUAGGAUCUUUCAACCCGAUCGGCAACACUAACUUCCAUACCAGGUCCCCUGGAGAGAAUUGUUUGACUUUGACCUUCUUAUCAUACCACCUGGCCACUUUCUUCUUGUUUUCUUCGAUGCUUAUCAAAGCUCUCAAUCGUUGGCCAGCCAAGUCAUCAAGUUCCCUUUUCAUGAGUGAGGAGUAGUCGUCGGCCGCUAACUAGUCCUGGAGCGAAGUGCGUCUCGACCCUGCUCUCAAUUCCCAUGGUAGUACCGCCUCGUGACCGUACACCAACUAAUAAGGGGACAUCUUGGUGGCCCCAUGGCAAGCCAUCCUGUAUGCCCAUAGAGCUUCAGUCAGACAUAAAUACCAUUUUCUCGGCUGCUCCUCUAUCUUCCUCUUGAUUAACUUAAUUAUCCCUUUGUUGGAAGAUUCGUCCUGGCCAUUAGCUUGGGCAUAAUACGGAGAGGAGUUUAACAAUUUGAUUCCCAUAUCAGCCGUGAACUCCUCGAAUUCUCCCGAUGUAAACAUCGUCCCUUGAUCGGUUGUGAUAGUCUGGGGGAUGUCGAAACGGUAGACGAUAUGGUCUCUUACGAAGUCAACCAUAGCAGCCGAUGUUACGGCCCUUAACGGAAUUGCCUCCACCCAUUUGGUGAAAUAAUCAGUGGCCACCAGAAUGAACUUGUGCCCUUUGCUUGACGGAGGAUAAAUUUGGCCGAUGAGGUCUAUUCCCCAACCUCUGAACGGCCAUGGUUUGAUAAUGGGAUUCAUGGCCGAUGCGGGCGCAUGUUGGACAUUCCCGAAUUUCUAACAAUCCUGGCAUCCUUUAUAAUAUUUGAAGCAAUCUUUGAGGAUCGUCGGCCAGUAAUACCCAUUAUUCCUAAUCAUCCAUUUCAUCUUAUGUGCCGAUUGGUGGGCUCCACACACUCCUUCAUGGAUUUCUCCCAUCAGAGUCUUAGCCUCCUCCAUUCCUAGACACUUGAGUAGGACGCCAUCAAUUGUUCGGUAGAACAAGUCGUCUUCCAGUAACAUAUAUUUGGUAGCAUGAAACCGUACCCGCCGAUCCACUUUCUUAGAUGGAUCUUUCAGGUAAUCGGCAAUCUCCUUUCGCCAGUCAUUGGCCGCGAGCUCCAGAGCCAAGGCGCCUUGAAUCGGCCGAUACCCAGAUGCGUGUUGGGAGAGCUUGUUGGCAUCCUCGUUGUGAUUCCUUGGGAUGUGCUCGAUAACUGCCGACUUGAAUUCUUUCAGAAGUAGCAGGCAAUCUUCGUAAUAAAUCCUCAACACAUCGUCCUUGCACUCGGACUUCCCUGUUAACUGAUCCACGAUAAGCAUGGAAUCCCCAAAAAUUUCGACGGAAUCAGCUUUGACUUCCCUUAGCAAUUGUAAUAGCUCGGUACUCUGCUUGAUUGUUAGUGGCGGAUGCUUCUAUCAGCAGAGAGAAAUCAUAGCUUGCCCCCCGAGGCGAUAUGAGGACGAUGCCGAUUCCUGAUCCGGCCCCACAUGACGAUCCAUCAAAGUAUAAGGCCCAAGGUACUGGUUCUACGAAGGUAGCCUCUAGCCCGCAGUGGUGGGCAAUGAAAUCGGCCAUGACCUGACCCUUAACGGCUUUUGCCGAUUCAUAUCGAAGGUCAAACUCUGACAAAGCCAAGAUCCAUUUUCCGUCCGUCCUUUCAAAAUCGGCAGUGACAGCAUGUAUUUUACCACGUCGUCCUUGCAUACGACCACACAUUCCGCUGACAGCAAAUAGUGCCUGAGUUUGGUGCAUGAGAAGUAAAGGCAUAGGCACAAACGCUCCACUGGAGGAUACCUUGUUUCGGCGUUUAGAAGUCUUCUACUGACAUAAUAAAUUACCCGUUCCUUUCCCUCGAACUCCUGGACCAGAGCCGACCCAAUAGCUCGUUCAUCGGCUGAUAAAUAUAUUUUAAACGACUUACCAGUUUGAGGAGGGACCAAUACCGGUGGUGAGACCAAGUACUGUUUGAUAUCUUCCAAUGCCUUGCACUGCUCUUCCCCCCAUAUGAACUCCUGGUCGGGCUUCAACUUUAAUAAUGGUGUGAAGGCUUGGAUUCGCCCAGACAGAUUAGAUAUGAAUCUUCUGAUGAAAUUCACCUUGCCGAUUAAAGAUUGCAGCUCAGUUUUAUUCUGCGGGGCCAUGACUUUGUUGAUGGCUGCUAUGGUCUUCCGAUUGAUCUCUAUUCCCCGCUCGUGCACUAUGAAUCCUAAGAAUUGUCCGGCGGAUACGCCGAAGGCGCACUUAUUCGGGUUCAUCUUCAGCCCAUGUUUCUUAGUGCAUUCCAAUACUUGUCGUAAAUCGGCCAGAUGCUCCUAGUGUCCUUUCGACUUGACUACGACAUCGUCGAUGUAGAUUUCUACUAGUAUGCCGAUAAGUUUGUGAAAUAUGUAGUUCAUGGCUCUCUGAUAUGUAGCGCCGGCGUUUUUCAAGCCAAAAGUCAUUACCACCCACUCGAAUAAACCAACGUGACCCGGGCAUCUGAAGGCUGUUUUGGGUAUGUCUUCUUCGGCCAUAAGUAUCUGAUUGUACCCAGCGUUUCCAUCCAUGAAACUAAUAACCUUGUGUCCCGUGGCGGCAUCUAUCAGCACAUCGGCCGUCGGCAUUGGGUAUCCGUCCAUUGGUGUGGCCUGAUUGAGGUUCCUGAAAUCGACGCAUACGCGUAGCUUUCCGUUCUUCUUGUAUUCUGGUACAAUGUUGGAGAUCCAUUCGGCAUAACGGCAUUGCCGAAUAAAUUUUGCUUCGAUUAACCGCGUUAUUUCGGCCUUUAUGUCUGGUAGGAUUUUAGGAUUGCACCGCCGUGCAAGCUGUUGAUACGGCCGAUACCCUGGCUUUAUGGGUAACCGAUGCUCAACGAUAGAUCGGUCUAAUCCGGGCAUCUCAUGAUAUUCCCAAGCAAAGCAAUCUUUAAAUUCUCUUAACAAACUUGUCAGUUUACAUUUGUAUUCCGGAUCUAAAUUUGCACUAAUAUAUGUCGGUCUUGGUUUGGUGCCAUCACCUAAGUCUAUCAUUUCUAAUGAAUCGGCCGACGUGAACCCGUGUCCCAGCUUCCCAUCUUCUCGGGCGAACUGAUCCAUUUUAGUCUGAGUCUUCGGAGCCGACUGCUCGGAUCGGCUGUAGGCCAAAAUCGGACACCUUCAAGAAGUCAGUAUCCCAUACUCUCCCGGAUAUGCACUUGACGGUUUCGCAGCUCCACUGCUGCGUGUCGGCUGCCGCGAUGCUGUAUGCGGAAUCGGCGGUGACCACCUCGAUGUUGUCGCCGACCCAUUGUACGAGGCAUUGAUGCAUUGUAGAUGGGAUACAGCAAUUUGCAUGUAUCCAGUCUCGGCCGAGUCGCAUGUUGUAGGACCUCUUGCCAUUAAUGAUAAAGAAAGUAGUAGGAAGGGUCUUACUGCUGAUGGUGAGGUCGACGCAGAGAGCGCCGCGAGCGGGGGAUACGUUGCCCUCGAAGUCCUUGAGCAUCAUAUCUGUCUUGGUCAGGUCAUCGUCGCUCUUCCCAAGCUUCCGGAACAUGGCGUACGGCAUGAUGUUGACUGCAGCCCCUCCGUCUACUAGUAAUCUAGUGAUGGGUCGGCCGUUGACAUGCCCUUUAAGAAACAACGCUUUCAGGUGUUGCCGUUUGUCUUCUUCGGGCUUCUCGAAUGUGGCUGUCAUUGGCUCCAAAGCCAAUUGCGCCAUCUGCUCUUCCAUUGCCGACAUGUCUUGUCGGUCGGCAGGAGUCAUGAAUUCCAUCGGCAGUAUGAAAACCAUGUCGAUGUCGGCUGCCGAUUCGUCGCCUGCCGAUUCGUCGCCUCCUCUGUCGUUUCUUUUGGGGCGCCAUACCUGAGACCUGCCUUUCUUCUCAUCCGUCGUGUACUGUUGCUCUUCCUCCUGCUGUUCCCACUGGCGGAGACGUUGGAUUCUUCAUUUUUGAGACUUGGUCAAUCCAUCGGGGCACCACCUGGGGUUCACCGGUUUGGUUCGUGGUCUAGCACGUUCCCAUUCUGGUCCGCGUCCUAAAGGGUUCUCGUCUGAUACCCGAGCAUGGGCCAUCUCUUCAAGUCGACUGUGGACGCUGAUCCUGUUUUCUGGCCGGUCAUGUCAAUCAAAUCUGCCCCCCGGCCCAUCAUCACGCCUGCCUUCCGACCGGUCAUAUCGGUCACUUCUGCCCCCCAGCCGAUCACGUACUGGAGGGCGCCGGUCAUCUUGGUCGCACCAGUUCCUGCUGAUCGGCUCUGGUUUCCCAUCUCUAGAGAGAGACCUGCUGAACAGCCGGUUGUUACGAUACGGGCCGUUGCAUUCAGGGCAUAUCGGCCGAAGGCAGCCUGAGGUUGCUUUCCCAACAGUGGAUGAAGAACGGACAUCGCCAGUGAUCUUCAUGUCGCCGCAUUGCUUCUUCCCGGGAUCUUGAGCGUUCAUGUUGCCGCUGAUAUUUAUUGAGCAGGAAUUGGGAAGUAAUGUGUCUGUGUGGUUCUCCUGAUCCGUCGUCAUUGUCCUCCAUCCGCCGUUUCCCCUUGACGUCUUCAGGCGCCGCUUGAUUUCUGGGGUCUACGGCGCCACUCUUUUUAGCUGAUUCGGAUGUCAGCACCUUGGUUUGGAGCGAAUUGUUUCCCGCGUCAACCAUGUUGGUGGGGAAAGGGUGCUGGUCGAUCUUCAUCGGCUUGGCUAGUUUUGUUGGCACUUCAAAUUUGAGUCUGCCCUGCUCAAUGGCCGACUGUAUCUGCUACCGGAAGAUUUUGCAUUCAUUAGUAUCAUGGGAGGUAGCGUUGUGCCACUUGCAAUAUUUCAUCUUCUUCAGCUGUUCGGUAGAAGGGAUCGUAUGGUAUGGCGAGAGCUUGAUCUGUCCUUCCUAGAGGAGGAGGUCGAAGAUUUUAUCGGCCUUUGAUGUGUCAAAUCCGAACGUUUCCGGCUCCUUCUUGCCGAACGGACAUGAUAUCAGCUUCUUCCCUUUAACCCAUUCCGCAAGGCUGAUUUCUGUGUCUUCUUCGGUUUCAACCUCUUCUAAGUAUGCCACCUUCUUCUAGAAGUUCCUCCGUGGAUCGAAAGAGCGUACUUCUUGACCGGACAAUCGGUGGACGAUCUGGCUCAAAGUCUCAAACUCCUGUGAGGCGUAUUUUUCUUUGAUGUGAGGUAGGAGACCUUGGAAGGCUAUAUCGGCCAACUGUGCAUCAGUCAGGGUCAGGGAGUAGCACUUAUUUUUGAUUUCCCUGAACCUCUGUACAUAUGAGGAUAUCGGCUCGUCGCUUCUCUGCCUGAGGCUGGUCAAAUCGGACAGCUUCAUCUCAUGUACCCCGGUGUAGAAGUAUUUAUGAAAUUGCCUUUCCAAAUCGGCCCAUGUAAAUAUCGAUAGGGAUGACGAGAAAAGGCGCACCCGUAGAGCAUCCUGCGCCGCUGCUUCCCCGCAUUGGAUGAUGAAUCUGUUCACGUGUUCCACGGUUGAGGUGUCGUCCAGCCCCGAAAACUUUGUGAAAUCAGGAACUUUAUACCAAUGGGGAAACGGCAGUAAGUCGUAUGUAGGCAGGUACGGUGUCCUGUAUGUGUAGGUCUGCACCUUCGGUUUCAAGCCGAAUUGCUCCUGGAUCACCUCUGCUAUACGCGCCGACCAGUCCGGCUGUUGCUGGUAAAUCGUCGGCUGAGGAACUGGUACGUGCUGAUAUAUUGGCGGCGGGAUGACUUGAUGUUGAGUGAAAGCGUGUGGCGUUUGAUGUGUCAUAGCCGGCUGCGUAGUCAGGGUCGGCUGUUUGAAUGAGCCGCUUGUUUCGUCAUAUAGUAUGAGCGGUGCGACGCCCCGAAGUACUUCCGUUGAUUCUGCUGCUCUGCUCAUCUCUGGUGCGACAGGCUGGUACUGCGCCAUGGUUGGUCGAGUGGCCACCUGGAAAGACGCCUGGAAUUGGGGACUUCCAUGGUUGGCCGGUUGAUCCUGGACGGCCGUCACUGAUGGUGCCCCCCAAGGCGCUGGAUUAAACGGAGGAAACUGCACGGGGGACAACUUAAUGGGACAUGGCUGGAGGUGUUGCGUGCCAUUAAACCCCAUAGGGACCGAUGAUGAGGAAGCGCCAGAAACCCCAACCGGAAUUUGGGUCGGCUGAGAAGCCGAAUAAGGUAUAUUCUUGUUCGGAGCCGUAAUCGGCGGAGCAUAUGCCGGCCCCUGGUACCCUUGAGAUACACCGCUAGCCAAGGAGCUGAUGACGGCAUUGUAUACCGUAUUAGAAAGCACCAGGGAUUGAUCGAUGAAAGCUUGAUAGACGGAUUGCUGGACCAUCUCGGACAUCUUGUCCGAGUCCUCGGUGAUUGUGAUCUGGCGGGGAGUUGGAAACGAAGCCUUUUUGAUAGUCUCCCCGCUCCUGGUGCGACUGAAGGACUGCAGACAUGUCUUCCGGUAGUAUGCCGUCUGCCUCUCUAGUUCUUCCUUCUGGUCAUCCCUGAGAUCUGCCUCUGUCACUUCGAUGAUGUUAUCUUCGGAGACUUCAGCAGAUUUCGACAUGGUGGCGGUUGUAUUGGUCCCACCGGGCGUGCCAAAAGUGUGUUGGCGCUAGAAAUCAGCUGAUCGAAUUCCCAGUGUCGGACACACGACCCGGGAGAAUCUGCUUAGCUCCUGUUCGGGUGACUGCCCUGGUGCGGUUCGCGCGGCGUGCCAGCCAAUCUGACCCGUUGAUUGGCAAGGAAAUAAACGUGUCAGUUCCCAGAGGUUGCGAUCGGCUAAGGUUCCGAUCUCGAGAAAGCUUAUCAGCGAGUUGGCCGAUUUGCCGUAAUAAAGAAAUCAGCUAUGAUGCAACCGAGUACCAGGCGAUGUUUAUAAAGAAAACUGCUAGAGUAAUCUAAACAACGCUAUAGUAGCAACACUACGAAUAGAUCUGAAUCGGCUAUGAGGAAAGAGGUAAAUUAAGUAACAAGAUAUAAGAAAGCCGAAAGUUCUAAUUACAAGCUGGAUAACUGGUGAUAAAACUAGAAUAACAGGUAAAACCUAGAAUUCUAGUGAAUAUCGAUAACUGGUGAAUAAAUCUAAACGAAACAACAGUGAUGCGCCUGAAGUUAAAGCUUAGAUAUUACUCGAUAAGCGGAACUUACAGAAUUGGCCGGAGAUCAAGUUGAUGCAGCCUCGCCAACCCGUACGAACUCGUGAAAAGAAGAAAAGUAUUGGCGAAGUCGCCUGCUCGAAAGUAAGUACGAGGAAAUAGUAGUUUGUUGUAUUGAGUUGAUGACGAUUACAGAUCUACAAGGGUGGCUAUUUAUAGCCCUGUACAAACGACUUCUUAUCCGACUAGAACUCUAUCCCUAAAUUCAAACACAAAACGAAUAUUUACAAGUACGAUUCGUACUAUUUUCACGCGCUUCAUGGGCUGACCCCCUCUUCAUCUUCAUAAUCCUUCUUAAGCCCACAUCGGCCCAACUAUUCCAACCUCCUAAUCGGCUGAUCACCUCUUUGGCAAGGGGGUAACCGAUCAGGACCCACAUGUCGAGGGCUCAGACUCAUUCCGACCCUGGGAACUAAGGUCGGACGAGGCGGAGAUCCUCCUUUGGAGGGUCGGGCGCGUCCGAUCCCAAACCUCAGGGGUCGGGCGAGGCGGAGAUCCUCCCUUGGAGCGUCGGGCACGUCCGAUCUUAAACCUCAGGGGUCGGGUGAGGCGGAGAUCCUCCCUUGGAGGGUCGGGCGCGUCCGAUCCCAAACCUCAGGGGUCGGGCGAGGCGGAGAUCCUCCCUUGGAGGGUCGGGCGCGUUCGAUCCCAAACCUCAGGGGUCGGGCGAGGCGGAGAUCCUCCCUUGGAGGGUCGGGCGCAUCCGAUCCCAAGCCUCAGGGGUCGGGCGAGGCGGAACUCCAAGGAUCAAUCGGCCGAUCCUCGACUGUAGCAUCAAUUGGCCGAUCCUUGACUGUAGCACCAACCAACCAAUCCUUGACUGCAGCACCAAUCGGCCGAUUUCCAAUCGUUGCCCUUGCAUCUCGCCGCAUCUUCUAAUUUCUUCCACUUCCAACGCCGAUUUUACUCGUGUUAAAAUCUGGCGUCAACAGCUAUUCUUCCAACGCUUUUUGCUGUUCUUCUCCCCAAAGAAUUAGGGUAUUUUACGGGUCUUGUAAUACCCUAGUGUUGAACAUAGUUGUUUAAUUACUUUACUUCCUAGACUUGUUUAAAUUUGAAACCCCUAGAAUGGUCUAACUUGGACUCUAAGUUUGUUUCAAUCUAUGGUUUGUAAUAAUUCGCACCUUUAGUAUUUAUGUAAAAAUGUAAUAUUUUUUGAUGCUUUCCCUUCGCGAUCCUGAUGUAUGGUUAAGAUUUAAGUCGUGGAUGAUUCAAAGCAUCCUAGGGACACUUGACGGACUACCAGAUUUAAACUAUUUUAAUUGCGCUUAAGCCAGUUUAAGUCGGACGGUUCUGCCACACUUUGUGUCACUCUGAUAUGUAAUAAAUACUUUAAUACUCUUUCAUUAUGACAUGGUUGUGGUGAUUCACUUAUGAAGUCCAUUAUAUGUGUGAAACUUUGAUCCUGGCAUACAUAUGAGAUGCAUCCGGUUUUCCCUCUAAAAUCGGGCAUGACAAAAGUGGUACCAGAUCUAUGAUGACUGUAGGACAUGAGCCUAGUUAGCAACGGUCUUUUUUCAAGGAUUAGUAUGCUUAUUCUACCUUGUUCUAAUUAUCCUUGCUCUUGUUUUGUUAUAUAUUCUUGCUCAUUUUGAUUAUUUACCUCCUCCUUAUUGUUAUUUCUACUCAGUUAACUUCGUCAUUGUUUAUGCUCUACUCAUGCUAUCUUAUCUUGCCUUAAUGUCUUUAUAGUUGUUCUAACCUUCCACUUUCUCCACCCAUAGAUGGUUCUAACCAAGAGUAGUGCUCUUAAGAUGGCCAGUGACACUCUUGCUUCUCACACCCCUCCUCCACCACGUGAGGAGAUAGAGCCAGAAGAAGAGGUGCAAGAAGAACAGGAGGACCCUGAAGAGCUAGAGCAGGAAGAUGGGCCUGAGGAGCAUGGAUAUGGAGAUGACUUAGGAGACCCUACAAGCUUAGAGGGUGAGAGCCUUGUGCCCCCUCAGUCGCUAGAGAGAUGGAUUGUGAUAGUCUAUCGCCACACUGUAGGAGAUGCUCGCUUCCCAAUGUUGCUUCAAAUGCUUUUCGAUCUCCUCUAGUACAAUGUGGAGAUAGACUAACAUGGACAAAGAAGAUGGCAUCCUAGGUAUCCCGAGGAGUGGUACAUGUCAGUGCACAUCUGUGUAGCUAACUAUGAGCAUGGGGGAACUCUAUAGGUUGCAGUUCACUACCAGAGCUACCUUUGCUGCUAGGAUUGAUGAAGUUGUAAGGCAAGCCCUUGGUAUGUUGUGCCAUGAAAGGGCUCACCUAAUUGGCAACAACGCAUGGAAGCACCUUCCCCGUUGACCACCUGGUUGUUUGGGAAGCGUGAUAGUAGAAGUUAGAGAUCAGAUGAACCCAAGAUUGAGAGCUCAGGUGGGAUUCACUACAGCACUCAACACCCACAAGGAUGGUACUGCAAUGGAGCUACAAGAUGUCCGCGACCAGCUAUAUGCAAAGCGGAGGAAGAAUGAGGAGCUUAGAGCUGAACUCAGAGGAGAUGACCCCCCGAUGCUAGAAGAAGCUGGUGAAGAUUGGAUUGCUCACUCCUCGCCGCGCAGAAGGACUAGAUAUGGUUCUCCUAGUUCUAUCACCUAUAUCCAGUAGGAUAGGUCUUCCCCUUGGUAGACUAAAAUGUUUAGUUCGAGUCGUCGUGAAUGUUGAGUCGUUGCUUAAGAUUUUGAUUAGGGGUGUUUGCUUCGUGUUUGCUUUAGUGCUAUAUAUGUGAUUUGGAUCAUUGUAAUGAUGGUGCUUAAGUUGUGGAGUGAUGACUAUAGCUAAGUAAAUUAAAUCAAUAUAGCUAGUUAAUUAGUUUGGGUUAUAUUUUGGUUCUUGCUUUUAGUACUCAAGUAAUUCGUUAUCUAGCUCACUUUAUCUGUUCUCGUCACCACUUGACAAAGCUGUAUAUUUUGAAUUAUAUCUGGAGCUACAGAACUCCAAUUUCCCUGAAUCCAGUUGGCUUAGAUUCAGAAUUAUAUAGGCUAAUUUAUGGAGAAUUUUCAUGAAUUUUUGAUUCUCUGACAUAGAGAUACAUGGGUGUUGGUGGAAUGGUCAGAAUCUGUCAUUACUAUCUGAUACAGUUAAUUUGUUUAUGUAAUAUCUCGAGUUCCAUACCUCUGAUUGAUGUGAUUCAAGCUGUGUUCAUUCAGAAUUUCAUAAACUAUGUUCUGGGAAAUUUUCACUAUUUUUGUAUAUUUUGUCUGAUAGUUAAACCUGAUUUAGUGGGACGAACAAAGUCUAUUGUAAUCUGGAAAUGCCUCUGCCACAUUCUAACCUAGUCAUUGUUAAUUAUGAUAAUCAUAUUGGAAAACUCAAUCAUACAAGUGUUGUAACUGGAUUGCAUAUUUACUUAUAUUUUUUAUUUAUCUCUUGGCCCUCUCUAAGUCCACCACCUCCUCCUCCGCCACCACCACCACCGCCAUCACAUCCUCCUCCUCCGCCACCACCACUGCCUCCACCUCCGCCACCAUAUCCACCAUUGCCAGCACCUCCUCCUCCUCUGCCAUUGGCACCGCCACCACCUCCUCCUCCUCAACCACUGCCACCUCCUCCUCCACCUCCGUUGUCACCUCUUACUCGUCAUCCUCCUCGUCCUCUUCCUUGUCAUCAUCAUCCUCGUCCUUCUCAAUGUAGACGUGAAGGACCGGAAAGGCGACCAGAGGGGGGUGAAUGGGAGCCGAUUCAAAUUUUCUCCAAGAACUUUAGCUAAAAACCCACAAACCCCUCUUCUAGCAAAAUCAAGUCUAAUUAGCUAUGCACAAGCUAAUGGACCUAGGAAUGAUGCUUGGAACCUAAUUUGAAAAUAGCGGAAGCAAGAAAGACUCCAAACAAGCUUCGAAAGACAAACUUUCAAAACCAACACCUCUGUGCGGAAAAAUCCGGAGGAACCUUUGGAAAAUUCCGGACGUGCGGAAAUUUUCGGAGAAACCUUCGGAAAUUUCCGGAGGUCUGGACAUUUCCGGAAUUAUGUCCGGAGAUUUCCGGAAUUCCAAAAUAGCCUACACGAAGAUGGUAGAAAAAUCCGAAACGGGUCAAACAACCUCCAAAAAUCACGAAAAUUGAACCAUAGCUUCAAAACAUACUAAAGAAGCUUCUCGUAUGAAAUCAUCCCGAAAAGUUUUGUCAAUCAAAGGGAAUUUCAAAUCUUGUGAAGAACUCUAUUUUCUCAAUGCCAAAACUUGAAUCGACCCGAUCUAUGAACUCGUGAGGUUUCAAUCAAAUCCCUUCUAUGGAAAGGUUCAACUCACAUCCUAGUUCAUUUCCAAACAACCGGAUUGACUCAAAACUCCCCAUAAAACACGAAUUGACCAAAAAUGUGAGAACGUGAGAGGGAAGAAAAGGAAGAGAACAAGAAAGCAAAGACCACAAGCGAGAUUUGCACAAAACCGUCAUCCUCCAACACACAGAGGACACAAGGAGGUUAGGGCCUCCAUUCCCGCAACAAACUUUGGUUCAAUACAUGGAUUCGGUGUUCAAAACAUCCGCGGACCUCUAGAGAAAGAGUAGAGAGAGAGAGAGAAACCAAAUGAAACUCUAGAGAGAGAUGUGGUGGGAGAGAGGUAGAAGAGAUGCUGAAAACUUCAGCCCCCCAUCUCUAUCUAUAGGCGCGGACGAAAGACUAAACUACCCCUAUAGCUACUACUAAGAUAACUACCCACGCAGGGGUAUUUUGGUCCAAGUUUUUGUACCCAUGUCGGGGUAUUUUGGUCCAAGUUUUUGUAUGCUCAUUGGAUGGACACGCCACCUUCACGACUUUGCUUUGCGUCGACGCAAGCUUCGCGAUGAUGCCACGUGCCCUCCUUCUCGAAGCUCUGGCCGCACCGGGCACACCUCCAGUUUUGGGGCCCAAACCGGCAAACUUGCCUGCGCAGUGGUUUUGAGGUCCAAACCACCGAAACCGUCCAUCUUCGCUUGGCCACCACGUGACCUCCUCAAUGUCGACGCAUGUCCGGUCUCCACCAAGCAUUUGAUGCCUCCAAGUCAUUUGCUCCUAGCUCUCGGGCCGCCUACUUGACUUGCCUCCGUCCCGCUUGCUCAACCAAUGUCGUCUCCAUCACCGUCAUGUUCUCUUGCUAUUCCGUGCACCAUGUGGACCGCCCAUGACUCCGCCCGGACUCCUCGGGUCUAUGGGUCCAAGCCCAAUCACGUUCAUCCUUCACCGCCCUUGGUCCAUCAGCAUGAACCUUUCGCUUGACCUUCAUCGCACGUCGUCGGCCACCACAUCGCAUCCAACACCUGCACAUCACAAGCUAAGAGCAACAUCAAACCAACACAACAUUGUCAAUCACUCAUCAUCCAAGGGUGAUCACCAUUGGUCCUCACGAUGGCAUCCUCCUCCUCCUCCUCCUCCUUGUACUCGAUCUCCACACUAUAGGAGUACCUGGGGGCUCUCCUACCCCAAAGGCGACGUCAUUUGUAGGGAUCCUUGUUGUAAUACAAUGGCUUAGCAUACUCUAAAUGGUCCCCAUCCCCCUCGGAAGAGUAGUUGGAAGGUAGAGAAGAAGCAAUUGGAGAAGAAGCCAUGGUAGUUGGUUAAGUUUUCUGAAGGAAGAGAGCAUGGAAGCGAUCGAGGGGUUGGUUACCAAUUACCAGGAAGGGUAUUGGUAUAUAAUGGCACGAAGUUGCCAAGGAAAGGCUAGAAGGGUCGCAUAGGGGGCAAGAGAUGCAUUGAUUGCUGAUAAUGUGGCGGUCUUUUGCAAGUGAAUAAUAUUGAAAUCUCAGGGAAUUCCGAUAAAUAAAUAAAAACUUAGCAGCAUUUUGCAACUAGUACUGAACAUGGAGAGGUAGCUGUACAAGAUUGAAGGUACUAAUCUUCGACAAGGGACAUAGUCUAAACAAGGCAGUUCCAACGAAAUCUAAAUGUACUAAUCUCCCUAGGGUCAUCCAAGGCCUCACUCACCAGCGACGUGUGGAGCGGGCCAUGGACUUGCGAUGCAGAUGGGUGAGCAACACUGGUCAGAUCGCGUUCCUGGCAGCACGCGUGCUGUGUGGCCAGCUCAAGUCCGGUGCCUCCGCGUGUUGUGAAUUAAAUCGAGCUCAUGUGAUGUGAAUCGAUCAAUCUUGUGCUAACUGAUUGGUUAUCUUCUUACUUGUGCGAUUGUCACACGUGAUGAGCAGCAGACUACAAGACAAAUCUUCAAUUACUUCUAGCGCAUGGAUGACCUCCAGUUGAUGGUGCAGCAAUGAAAGGGAAACUACCAGACAGUGCCUCUUUCUCUGCGGAUGCACGGGCAUCGGACGUGCCGCCAGGCUUGAUUUCUUCUAGCAGGACCUUGAGCGAGGGAGGUUAGGGAUGACAAGUGGGACCUGAUUGUCAUAAGGAGAGGGAGGUGCUAGGGAGUUGGCACUCGGCAAAUGGGUCAUCUUGCAUGGUCUGUCCACGGUGCCUAUCUGACGUGGUCUGCCACAUCUGCUAAAUUAGUAAAUGUGUAAGAAUCUUCUCUUUCAUCUCUACACCUAUAAAUCCACCAAACUUUUCUUUCCUAUAUGCACCCCAUGAAAUGUCCCCCACUGAGAUAUACUUUACUUCAUCCAUACCAAUCUAUCCACCCAGAACAUCAACUCCUUUAAAUUACAAGGUCCAGAUCUUCUUUCAUAUCUUCUCUUUCCUAACUUACUCAAAUCCAAUAGCUCAUAGUACUUGGAUCAUCCUGCAUACCCCUUCGUUCGCCCGUACCCCCACCUCCCCCACGCGCACAACCUGCCCCCGCGCCGCAACCUUUCGGCUCCUCAGGCCCUCGACUGACUCGUACCUUCCUCCACGCGACCCGACCCAUCAGCUUUCUCAUCAGACUGCUCAUCUCUUCUUCAAUCACCACCACCAAAAAAGUGUUGGAGAGAUGCCCUAUAGGCAAUCAUAGAGAUGAUGAUAUUCCAUUUGUAUCCAUGUUUCAUAUUGUGUUCCUUGAAUAUCCAUUAAAGGCUACUUAAAUUGAUUUGCAAUUAUGUGAAUUGUAUGUGAAACUCUUUACUUGUAUGGUUAUUCUAAAGUUAUCCCUAGUCGGAGUUCAUGUGAGGACACACAUGAACAUUAGACUAGUACAUGUAUUUGUUGAUGACUAUAUUUCACAAGUCAUGGACAUGGAGAUGUCAAACUAAUAAUGUAAGCGUAUGUGGAGACAUAUGCUAGGACUGACCCAACACGAGAAGUAGUUCUCUCUAUACACAACAUGUACGCUUUAUCCUUAGACCUGAGAUUAUCGCAUGUACUCAAGAUGUGGAUCGUCUUACUUAGGGGCUAUCAAACGCUACACCAUAACAGGGUAGUUAAAAAGGUAGCUUUCGAGUUUGUCAAGAAGCAUAUGUGAGGCAUGGUCAAAUAAAGAUGGGAUUUGCCCCUCUCUAAUUGAGAGUGAUAUCUCUGGCCCCCUCGAGUGAUCGGAUCCGAAAAUGCAUGGCCAUGCUACGUACGGUAAGAGUUAACCUACAAAGGGAUUCAGAAUCACAGGAACGAGAAAGAGCGGUCGGCUUGGAGCUAGACCAAAUAUCAUGAGGCAAAGAGAGUAGCAAGUACGUGAUGUCGUGACGGUUCAUCUGAUAUAAUCUUCGUGUGCGUAUAGGAGUUGGCACGUCUUGCUAGAGGCCGCUAUGGACUAUUGGGCUGAGUAGGAGUACUCGGGCUAUGUCUAUACGUAUCUGAACCUAUAGGGUAAUACACUUAAGGGGUUGGAUGCCCAAUUUGGAUGUGAUCCAAAUUGAAUCAGGUUUAGGAGUACUAAUGAGCCUUGGACCCAGAGGCCCGUCAGGAACCUCUAUAAAUAGAGGGGUGGGGGCACCCUAGGGUUUCAUCCCUUUGGCUGAAAACACAUCUGCCAUGCCUUCCACGCCCUCGCCCUGUUGCAACUCGCGGACCUAGCAGUCCGGCUUGCGACGCUUCUUCCCUGCACGUGUGGAUACCAUGGAGGUGUUGCACCUGCAGCACUUGGACGAGCCGCCGACGAGCUACGACGAGCCGAUGACGAGCCGCGGCACGACGACGACCUUGCUGCACAUGGAUGAGCUGCUGAGGAGUUGCUCGACGUCGGCGUGAUUGACUACGUGUUCGACUAAGCUGAUCAACUUCGCUGCCCCAACGCGAUUCUACAUCUUUCGCACCAGGGUCGGAAUUUUGUCGUAUGCGUGUGCUUCGGUAAAACAACCGUAACUUUUCGGUACGAUCUCGGAUCGAGGCGAAUUUUAUAUGGAAAUUGAUCUACAGAAAAAGUUACACAUAAAAUUCAAUAACUUUGCCGCUUUUGGUGAAAUUAGAUUUCCCAAAUUCAGCUUGGAAGAUGGAGUUACGGGCCUCUGAAGUUUGGAACGUUAGAACGCCUGACUCUGUUUUGCAGGAUGGAUGGAUCUUGUGAUCAGUAUGGCCCCCUUGUGUAUGUGAUGUAUGUGUGCAACUCUUUCGUAACCUGCGUGUCGCGCGUACGGCAACACGGCUGGAGCCAUAUGUGUUGUCACCUUAAUGUAUUUAAUGGUCUGCGUACCAAUCUGUGAUGAUCCAAGCAACUAUGUAAUCUUCAUUACUAGCUAUUAGGUGCAAUAGCAUGUUCUAGUUCUUGGAGGACUCAUCACCAGGAGGAUGGCAAAAAUGGAACAUGGAGAUGGAGAUCACCAUGGUGAACAGGUUCUAUGGAGACGGAGAUCACCAUAAGAAAACGGGCCAUACUGUGUCACAACUGUGUGAAUGCUAUUCUCUAUGUUUUACUUCCUGCAUAAUGUGAUGUUAGAAGUAGAACGAUCCCUCGCAAAGUUUAUGUUUGUAUGCCCUCUCAACUAAAACUUGCACCGUCCCAUGUCUUGUACAAUUGGUGGUGGGUCUAUGAAAUUAGGGUGCCACUAGUUUUCCUUAACUAGAUGGGUUUGGGUCGGACACUUACACGCAUAAGGGUUGGUUUGCUUAACAAGGUUACCUUAACGGUUAAGGACCUUGGGGCAUAAAGGUUGCACGCCGAGACAUGGAGAUGUCACCAAACAACAGGAGUCAUAUGUGAUAUGAUUAGCAAGGAGUUGCUUACCGAUCUACCUUGUUUGCUAGCGGUGAUGCUAAAGCUCACUAGUAGACUUGUUAAUUGUGGAUCCUUAAUCACUAAGUAUCAAUAGAGGGAUAUUGAUUUUAGUGGGAGUAGAUUCUGUUAAAUAAGUUUAAUGUGAUUUACUCUAUCAUGGAUACGUUUAUCUUAGUGUAUUUUGCAUUACUUUUGUUAUAGAUUAAAUGGCACCUAGCAAAACCACACCGUUUGCUUUGCGUUCGGUCCUUGAGAAGGACAAGUUGAAUGGAACAAACUACUCGGAUUGGAUCCGUAACCUGAGAAUUGUUCUCAGGGCUGAUAAAAAGGAAGAUGUUCUGGACACCCCAAUAGCAGAAAAACCUGCUGAUGAUGCAUUUGCUGCCGUUACGGCUGCUUACAAGAAAGCAUUUGAUGCUAAUCUUGAGGUAAGAUGCCU
rnacentral:lncRNA from 1 species